UACGUAGGGUGCAAGCGUUAAUCGGAAUUACUGGGCGUAAAGCGUGCGCAGGCGGUGAUGUAAGACAGAUGUGAAAUCCCCGGGCUCAACCUGGGAACUGCAUUCGUGUGACUGCAUUGCUGGAGUGCGGCAGAGGGGGAUGGAAUUCCGCGUGUAGCAGUGAAAUGCGUAGAUAUGCGGAGGAACACCGAUGGCGAAGGCAAUCCCCUGGGCCUGCACUGACGCUCAUGCACGAAAGCGUGGGGAGCAAACAGGAUUAG
rnacentral:rRNA from 1 species